UCCCGGUUAGCUCAACGGGUAGAGCGUCAGACUCUUAAUCUGAAUGUCGAGGGUUCGAAUCCCUCACUGGGAG